rnacentral:lncRNA from 1 species
AACAACCCUUUAAAUAAGGUUUUCUCACAGUAAACGCCAAUCCACAUCCACCUUUUCCUCUCCCUCACUUUCUCUCUUCUCUCUUUGUAAUGACCCGACCCACUAGCAAUAGUAAUUCGUUGGACUCAAACCACUGGCCCAAAAUGCUUAAGCCCAAUUAUUAUAAGUAGGGUGUCCAUCACUUAUAAACCUCUGGCCCAAAAUGCUUAAGCCCAAUUAUUAUUAGUAGGGUGUCCAUCACUUAUAAACCCAUCACUCUCUUCCACAUUAUCCGAUGUAGGACUAUUGGGAUGUCACAUACUCUCCUUGUUUAGGCCCUGAUGUCCUCGUCAGCCCGACCCAAUCACACACAUCACACACAUAGCCUCAGAGUCACCAGACGAUGUGAGAUUUAUCUCACACUUCCGACUGGUUAUCAAGCUUUGAUACCAAAUGUAAUGAUUUGACCUGCUAGCAAUAAUAACUCGUUGAGCCCAAACCACCAGCCCAAAAUACUUAAGAUCAGUUAUUAUUACUAGUGUGUCCGUCACUUAUAAACCCAUCAUACUCUCCCACAUUAUUCAAUAUGGGACUAUUGGGAUGUCAAAAUUUC